AUGGCCAUAUAGCAUUGAAACAAUGGUUCCCAUACAAUCACUAAAGUUAAGCAACAUUGAUCCUGGUCAGUACUUAGAUGGGUAACCACCUGGGAAUACCAGGUAUUGUAAG